GUGGGGAAUCUUGCGCAAUGGGCGAAAGCCUGACGCAGCCAUGCCGCGUGGAUGAUGAAGGUCUUAGGAUUGUAAAAUCCUUUCACCGGUGAAGAUAAUGACUGUAGCCGGAGAAGAAGCCCCGGCUAACUUCGUGUCAGCAGCCGCGGUAAUACGAAGGGGGCUAGCGUUGCUCGGAUUUACUGGGCGUAAAGGGCGCGUAGGCGGACAUUUAAGUCAGGGGUGAAAUCCCGGGGCUCAACCUCGGAACUGCCUUUGAUACUGGGUGUCUUGAGUAUGAGAGAGGUGUGUGGAACUCCGAGUGUAGAGGUGAAAUUCGUAGAUAUUCGGAAGAACACCAGUGGCGAAGGCGACACACUGGCUCAUUACUGACGCUGAGGCGCGAAAGCGUGGGGAGCAAACAGGAUUAGAUACCCCAGUAGUCC
rnacentral:rRNA from 1 species